CAACGUGUGUUGAUGAAAUCCUGUUGAAAACUUGGGCUGUCAGAUUUAAGUUCCGUUCACAAUUACGCCAAUCAUCUGUGUUGGAUGUGAGUGAAGAACUCCAUCAUAUUCAAUCAUUGAUAGCCACCCUUGGGUUGAAGGAACAAUCAAGUAAGGGAAAAGGAAUAGCUGUUGAGCCAGAAAGUUCACCACCAAUUUUUGUUCCCACGUCUUCUGAUUACGAUCCUGGAAACUCUACCUGUUUAACUCCAACCAAAAGGAUUAGUUGUCAGCAAACCAGUUCUGAUUUUGAUUCUGAUGAGCAUGCACAGUAUCAGUUAUCAAC